rnacentral:rRNA from 1 species
ACGAGUUUGAUCCUGGCUCAGAUUGAACGCUGGCGGAAUGCUUUACACAUGCAAGUCGAGCGGCAGCGCAGGGCAACCUGGCGGCGAGCGGCGAACGGGUGAGUAAUGCAUCGGAACGUACCCAGUCGUGGGGGAUAACUGUCCGAAAGGACAGCUAAUACCGCAUACGUCCUGAGGGAGAAAGCGGGGGAUCGCAAGACCUCGCGCGAUUGGAGCGGCCGAUGCCGGAUUAGCUAGUUGGUAGGGUAAAGGCCUACCAAGGCGACGAUCCGUAGCUGGUCUGAGAGGACGACCAGCCACACUGGAACUGAGACACGGUCCAGACUCCUACGGGAGGCAGCAGUGGGGAAUUUUGGACAAUGGGGGCAACCCUGAUCCAGCCAUUCCGCGUGAGUGAAGAAGGCCUUCGGGUUGUAAAGCUCUUUCGGUGGGGAAGAAAUUGCUUGGGUUAAUACCCUGAGUAGAUGACGGUACCUGCACAAGAAGCACCGGCUAACUACGUG